rnacentral:rRNA from 1 species
UACGGAGGGUGCAAGCGUUAAUCGGAAUUACUGGGCGUAAAGCGUGCGUAGGUGGUUCGUUAAGUCCGUUGUGAAAGCCCCGAGCUCAACUUGGGAAUUGCAGUGGAUACUGGCGAGCUAGAGUGCGGUAGAGGAAGGUGGAAUUCCCGGUGUAGCGGUGAAAUGCGUAGAGAUCGGGAGGAACACCAGUGGCGAAGGCGGAGCCUUCUCGGACCAGCACGUGACACUCAAGCACGAAAGCGUGGGGAAGCAAACAGGG